UCUGCCUCUUUGUCAGUCUCAGCCAAUCCUAUAGGGAAGCACUGUGAUUGGAUCAGGCUACCACUUCUGAUGAUGUCAGCAGACUGCUUGUUUUUUUUUUUUUAGGCAAACAGCAUGCAGAUCUACAGCUUCUGGCUUGAAUACAGUAAGAUUUUGCUAUAUUUAUGGAGGCAUGAGGGGCCCAGGGGGGCUAGAUGGUGGUUUUAACAC